GGGCGCAUAGCUCAGCGGUAGAGCGCUUGCCUUACAAGCAAGAUGUCACUGGUUCGAUCCCAGUUGUGCCCACCC
rnacentral:tRNA from 2 species